UACGGAGGAUGCAAGCGUUAUCCGGAUUUAUUGGGUUUAAAGGGUGCGUAGGCGGGACUGUAAGUCAGGGUGAAAUACUGCAGCUUAACUGUAGCAUUGCCUUUGAAACUGCCGUUCUUGAGUACAGUUGAGGUAGGCGGAAUGUGGUGUGUAGCGGUGAAAUGCAUAGAUAUACCACAGAACGCCGAUUGCGAAGGCAGCUUACUAAGCUGUUACUGACGCUGAGGCACGAAAGCGUGGGGAUCAAACAGGAUUAGA
rnacentral:rRNA from 1 species